AGGACGAACGCUUGCGGCGUGCCUAAGAAAUGCAAGUCGAACGGAUUAGCAGUAAUGCUAGUUAGUGGCGAACGGUCGCGUAACACGUAAGGAACCUGCCUUGGAGUGGGGGAUAACAGCCCGAAAGGGUUGCUAAUACCGCAUAUGAACAUCGAUCGGCAUCGGUUGAUGUUUAAAGCUUGAUGCGCUUUAAGAUGGUCUUGCGGCCUAUCAGUUAGUUGGUGGGGUAAUGGCCUACCAAGACGUUGACGGGUAGCUGGUCUGAGAGGACGAUCAGCCGGAUUGGGACUGAGAUACGGCCCAGACUCCUACGGGGGGCAGCAAUUAAGAAUCUUGCACAAUGGGGGAAACCCUGAUGCAGCGACGCCGCGUGGAGGAUGACGGUCUUCGGAUUGUAAACUCCUUUGACAGGGAAGAAGAAUGUGACGGUACCUGUCGAAUAACGCCCCGGCUAACUACGUGCCAGCAGCCGCGGUAA
rnacentral:rRNA from 1 species